ensembl:lncRNA
AACAUGGGAGAGAACAAAUAUGCUCGUCUCCACUUGAGGGGAUUGCUAUAGGGUUGUUGUUGUUUUUUUUUUGGGGGGGGGGGGUUGGGGGGGGGGGGUUGUAUUUACAGAGUUAUCUCCUAGUAUUCUAACACAAAAUAGAAUAUUUAGCAACAAAGAGACUACUGAUCAAGUAAAAAUAUUUUUUAUUUAAUUUUUUGAUUAAAGCAAAAGUCAGUUACCUUGCUGUUUUUUUUUUUUACGGUGUUCUAUUUUCACUCACUGUGGUUGGCCCCUCCCUCAACUGGUGUCUCUUCCUGUUAAAAGGGAGGUUUUUUUCUUUGCACCGUUGCAAAUUCUCUAGGCAUACCGGGGUUUGGGACUUCUUUCUAAGAUUGUACGGUCAUUACCACGCAAAGGUGGGAGAAUUAGAAAAAACUGACAACUAUCAUUAACAUACCAACUUUCAGCAUAAGAAGAUAAGAGAUGGCACAGAUGGAUCAGUGCAGGUUUGGUACAAACAUACUAAUGGCUGAGAAGAGGGAGGGCACAUGAAGAGCAGAAAGAACAGAAGGCAAUGUCUGGUGAAGCUGGGUGGCUUAAUAUCUGCUUUUAAAUGGAGUCAAACAUGACUUGGAGAAGAUGGUGUGGAUAAUUUUUAUCUCCAGCCUGAACUUCUCUCAGGUGUCUACCCAAAGAACCGAUGGUGCCAGUGAACAUGAAGGAAGAUCAGCAUCAGACAUCCUGAAAAUUGUACUCCAGUUACUACUGGGUCCUUUUUUGGUAUAUAUGAUAUAUUCCCUAUGGAGACAUCAGGCACGCUUGCGUCAUCAACAGCAACAUCGCCAGCAUUAGUUUCCAUGAGGAGCAGAAGGAUCAGUAACACACGUUCAUCAAUCUGUGUAUUGACUUGACAGAAAUUUAAGGAAACCGCUGCUUAAGCUGUUGAAUAAAUAUCAGUUUGACAACAGCUUGUAGAAAUCCAUAGUUACAUUUUAGCAGUUCAUUUAUAUUUUCUAUUAAUUUUCAUCUGCAUCUAAUCUUGUUAUAAAGCCAUCAUGAGUUCAUGUAAAGUCUGUGGUUGCAGCAUUAAACAUGUUUCUACUCUUCUGGUGUUUUGUUUUUUUUAACUUUUUAUUUUAUUUAUUUAAACAACCCACCUGUCUAAUACACAUACAGUUUCUUCAGACUAACAGAAUACUAAGAGAGUCCCAAACUUAAGGGAAAAAAAUGCAGAGAAAUUAGAAAGAAAAAGGAACAAACAAUAUAUAUAUAUAUGUCUGUGUGUAUAAAAAUAUAAAUACAUAUAUAAUAAUGUAUGUAUGCGGCGCCAUCUUGGAACUUAGACUGACUUAGACUGAUAUUUC